UACAGAGGUCCCAAGCGUUGUUCGGAUUCAUUGGGCGUAAAGGGUGCGUAGGCGGCGCGGUAAGUCGGGUGUGAAUCUCGGGGCUUAACUCCGAAACUGCAUUCGAUACUGCCGUGCUUGAGGACUGGAGAGGAGACUGGAAUUUACGGUGUAGCGGUGAAAUGCGGUAGAGUAUCGUGAAGGAAGACCGUGGCGAAGGCGGGUCUCCUGGACAGUUCCGUCACGCUGAGGCACGAAGGCCAGGGGAGCAAACGGG
rnacentral:rRNA from 1 species